GGGGAGCAACUGCGUCCAAGCUCCUCCUCCCUUAGCCCUGGCCCCUCCCCUGGCCCCGCCCAGUCUCCAUACAGCCCGUCCUCCAGGCAGCUUGUGGGCGGAGCAAUUGAGAGUGACAGACCCUGGACAGAAGUGUUCAGCGAGUUGGCGGAAGAGGAGAAGGAGAGGGCUCUGCAACAGCAGAAAGAGACCCUGCAGGCCCGCUUCGCCGAGGCCCUGUCGGCCCGAGGGCGGCUGGAGGCCGAGCUGAGGCAGGGGCAGCGGGUAGAGCUGCUGGCCAGGUUCGAGCAGGAGCGGGCCGGCCUGAGGGCCCAGGCGGAGAGGGAGACCGGGCUGGCCGUGGAGGAGGCCUGUGAGAGGCUGAGGGCCCAGGCGCUGAGGGAGGCCGACGAGGUGAGGCGGAGGGAGGCCGAGGCCUUCCGGACCGAGGCACAGGCGAGUACCGCUAACGCGUGGAGGAGUGAGGUCAAAGGUCAUUCUGCUCCCGCCUCUCUCCUCCAUCUCUCCCCUUCUUCAUCAAUCGCCCCCCCCCCCAGCCCAUUUCUAAAUCGCCUCACCGUCACUGGCACAGCUAAUAUUUAUAAGUGCUCUUAAUGUUCAUUUCAUCUGAGGGGAGUCUGCGUGGACACAUUAUUUAAAUGGGUUUAUAUGUAAAUUUGCGCGUGGAAGUCGUCUGUCUGUCUGUCUGUCUGUCUGCGCGUGUCAGGAGAGACUGAAGGAGUGCGUGCGGGAGGUAGAGAGGAGGGUGAGGGGAGAGUGUGAGGCGGAGGCGCAGAGGGACAGACGGACGCUGCAGGACAGACACGCGCAGGAGCUGGACCAGCUGCACGCCAAAAUCCAGCAGCUGGAGGAGCGACUGGACUGCGUCACCAGGGAGAAGAUGCAGUAUGAGAGAGAGUUUAAGAAGGUGCAAUGCAGUUACAGGCAGUUUGUUGACCUCACUGACUCCUCCCUCCACUCGGACUACCUGCUGAAGCUGAGGCGUCUGGGCCGGGAGCCGGGCCUGACCGAAGCAGAGGCCCAGACUGAUGACAUCAUCAGCGCGCGCCCAACCCCCUGGCCUCUCUCCCACAGGAGAGUGCACUAAGCUUAGAGACCCACACACACCCAGGCAGGGCCUUCUGCUGUUUACUCACAAUGUUUUAAUAGCACCAGUGCUUACAAGGAUUAUUAUUAUUAUUAUACUGAGACAAUCUAUCAUUCAUUACCAGUCGUCAUCUGGGAUAGCGUGACAAUUGUGGACACUAAUUUUGAUGUCUUUAUUCCAGAAAUGAUUCUACGUAUGAGUUGUGCACCCUUUUGCUAGCGAAUGGGUCAUGGUUGAUUCAAUAAAGGGUUUCAGUAUGUUAAAUUGUG